GACGAACGCUGGCGGCGUGCUUAACACAUGCAAGUCGAACGGAAAGGCCCUUCGGGGUACUCGAGUGGCGAACGGGUGAGUAACACGUGGGUGAUCUGCCCUGCACUUUGUGAUAAGCCUGGGAAACUGGGUCUAAUACCGAAUAGGACCACGCGCUUCAUGGUGUGUGGUGGAAAGCUUUUGCGGUGUGGGAUGGGCCCGCGGCCUAUCAGCUUGUUGGUGGGGUAAUGGCCUACCAAGGCGACGACGGGUAGCCGGCCUGAGAGGGUGACCGGCCACACUGGGACUGAGAUACGGCCCAGACUCCUACGGGAGGCAGCAGUGGGGAAUAUUGCACAAUGGGCGCAAGCCUGAUGCAGCGACGCCGCGUGAGGGAUGACGGCCUUCGGGUUGUAAACCUCUUUCAAUAGGGACGAAGCGAAAGUGACGGUACCUAUAGAAGAAGCACCGGCCAACUACGUG
rnacentral:rRNA from 1 species